rnacentral:rRNA from 1 species
UACUUAAAACCAUCGCGAACUUAUCCAAGUUGCUUCGGCGGCGCGGCUCCCCUCACGGGGGACCGCAGCCCCCGCCUCUCAGGAGGUAAGGGGCAGCCGCCGGAGGUACGAAACUCUGUAUUAUAGUGGUAUCUCUGAGUAUAAAACAAAUAAGUUAAAACUUUCAACAACGGAUCUCUUGGUUCUGGCAUCGAUGAAGAACGCAGCGAAAUGCGAUAAGUAAUGUGAAUUGCAGAAUUCAGUGAAUCAUCGAAUCUUUGAACGCACAUUGCGCCCGCUAGUACUCUAGCGGGCAUGCCUGUUCGAGCGUCAUUUCAACCCUCAAGCUCUGCUUGGUGUUGGGGCUCUACGUCUGACGUAGGCCCUGAAAGGAAGUGGCGGGCUCGCUACAACUCCGAGCGUAGUAAUUCAUUAUCUCGCUAGGGAAGUGUGGCGUUCUCCAGCCGUUAAAGACCCCAUCUUUAACCAAGGUUGACCUCGGAUCAGGUAGGAAUACCCGCUGAACUUAAGCAUAUCAAUAAGCGGAGGAA